UCCGCCCGCUGGCGGCGUGCUUAACACAUGCAAGUCGAACGGAAAGGCCCUGCUUUUGUGGGGUGCUCGAGUGGCGAACGGGUGAGUAACACGUGAGUAACCUGCCCUUGACUUUGGGAUAACUUCAGGAAACUGGGGCUAAUACCGGAUAGGAGCUCCUGCUGCAUGGUGGGGGUUGGAAAGUUUCGGCGGUUGGGAUGGACUCGCGGCUUAUCAGCUUGUUGGUGGGGUAGUGGCUUACCAAGGCUUUGACGGGUAGCCGGCCUGAGAGGGUGACCGGCCACAUUGGGACUGAGAUACGGCCCAGACUCCUACGGGAGGCAGCAGUGGGGAAUAUUGCACAAUGGGCGGGAGCCUGAAGCAGCAACGCCGCGUGCGGGAUGACGGCCUUCGGGUUGUAAACCGCUUUCGCCUGUGGCGACGCGUGAGUGACGGUAAUGAGUAAAGAAGCACCGGGUAGCUACGUG
rnacentral:rRNA from 1 species